GCCGUGCAUCCUCGGGUCGGCCCCGCGGGUGCUCAGUAGUCAGUGUAGAUCCUGUGCGGCUGGCAGCAGCUACAUCUGGCUACUGGGUCUCUGCCGGCA
rnacentral:pre_miRNA from 1 species